rnacentral:rRNA from 1 species
AAUCAACGCUGGCGGCGUGCCUCAGACAUGCAAGUCGAACGCGAAACCUUCCUUCGGGAGGGGAGUAGAGUGGCGCACGGGUGAGUAACACGUAGGUAAUUUGCCUUCGGGUGGGGAAGUAACAGCCGGAACGGCUGCUAAUACCGCAUAAUGCAGCGGCUCGACAUCGAGACAGUUGUUAAAGCGGGGGAGUUCGCAAGAACCUCGCGCCUGAAGAGAAGCCUGCGGCAGAUUAGCUAGUUGGUAGGGUAAUGGCCUACCAAGGCGACGAUCUGUAACCGGCCUGAGAGGGCGGUCGGUCACACUGACACUGACAUACGGGUC